rnacentral:lncRNA from 1 species
GCCUCGAAUAACUGUGUCAUACUACAGACUGUCCCUGGGCUACAGUGUGUAUUUCCUCUAUGACAGAGCAAGAAUAACCUGGAGCAUUACUACAAAAGUAUUACAUCAAAGUGUCCAGGAUUAUUGCGGUGAUGCCACAUAAGAUAAAUAAAGCAUAAAGUGAGAGGAGAUCACUGCUAACUGCUGAGCUCAUACGCCGUGUUUCCCUAUGGGAAUAUUAUAUCAUAUAUAAUAUCACACAGAAAGCACAGUGGAUAAAAAUACCAUUUAAAUCCUACAAACGCGCCUUUGAACACCACAGAUGUGUUCAGGGUCCCUGCAGACUUACUGCAGGAAUAUUGGAGUGAUUUUUCGCAUGCUGCCGGUGAAGUUGAAGGCGGGACACAAAGUCAUGAGGCAUGCAUAGACAAAGAAGUACACAAACACCGCCGUUAUGGCAGGCAGCCCAACUUUGUUUCAUUGAUUUCAGACCUUUGCGCUCCUGUCGCCUUUGUGGAUUUGUAGGGUGGAAGAAAACACAGACAGUCGGACAUUCAUUUAUCCGAAGUGUGGAGAUUAAAAACGAAAACUAAAAAGUUUGAGAGUGAGACUAAACUUUUAUCUGGAGUCAUGUGUCAACGUUAUGAGUGGAGACUAAAGAAAAGGGAGUCAGAGCCGGGAUGUUACUGCGUAAAAGUUCGCAAAAUGUGGGACCACCAACUGAUGGAAGGAGGCAGAUGCUUUCACAGUGGAGACAAUAUUCUUCCAAGCGGGGCUGAGGAGUGCGAGGGUAAGUUUCUGAACCAGAACUUCUGAGGCAGCGAUAGUUUAUGACUCAGGAGGUUGAGUGAGAAGCGGGGAGUGCAGUUGGGAAUGGCACGGGUGGGGGGUGCAGCGGGGGUGGGGAUCGGUCAUUCUGGUCUCUUUGGUCUCCUUGCUGUGGUUUCUUCCCAUUUGGCUUGCAGACAAGUGUAUUGUGCAUGGGGCCUCUCUGAUGUGGUGCUGUGAUGAUGAGUAAGCACACAUAUGAUGAAGUGGGUAUGUGUGUGGUAUCCAGAGCUCUGCCUGACACAUGGCCAUGAGGAAAUUGAGAGACAGGAUUAAAAAGCGAGGGGGAGGGUGGUGAUGGAAUAUAUAUCACAGAGCUUUUUACAGGCCAGGCAUUUCUCUCCAUCUAAUUAGAGGACAGUUGUGGGUUCUGCUGGUUACGUAACUUCUGAAGAUUUCCUGGUGAAAAAGUCAUAUGUUUAACAUGACACAUCUGGGUAAAUUAUUCAGAGAUUUUGGAGGAUGAACUCACUUCAACUUUACCCAGGUUUUCUGUUCUUAUUUGCUUUAAUCAUAUUGAAGACAGACAUGGGCCACAAGAAAACAACAGUCCCCUUUUCAAAGGCUUCAUGAGUCUGUCAGCCAAAAUGUCAUUUUCUCUUAUGAAAUUGAUUCACUUUUAAAGCUUUCAUACAUUUAGAACAGCUUUGGACAGCAGCACAGUACAUUGUUUUGUUCCGAUUGUUAAUCAGGCUUCAUUACAUUUCAUAUUACACUACAGUGCUGUGAAUUUCUUACUGCUUUGCAUACUGUUUCAGAUCAUCAAAGAAAUUUUAAUAUUAGACAAAGAUAACUUGAGUAAAUAAAAAAUGCAGUUUUUAAAUGAUGAUUUAUUUUAUUAAGGGGGAAAAAGUUAUCCAAACCUACCCAGUUCUGUAUGACAAGGUAAUUGCCCCUCAAAACUUAAAAACUGGUU